CUUAGAGAUAGGGCUCUGGUUUUGUGCUCUCUUUUGAGGUUUACCAGUUCUGAAGGUUGUGAGACUGAUUCUAGCUUAUUCUACACUAAAUCUCUACUGAUAUUAUGUGACUGACUCUUGUUUCAUUAAGGCAGUUCUGAGGCCAAUGGCUGGAACCACUAGUUAAGAUAAAAAUACUUGGAGAUAAAAAACUUACCACAAGCAGCUCAUCUUCACCUGAUCAAAUGAAAUACUUGACAUUGCCUUAUGGAUAUGUGAAACAAACCUAUGGCAUCUACUAUACAUGGGACACAAAUAAUGCUGGCAUCAGGGACAAGCAUAGAGCCAAAGGAAUGAAAAUUCAAGGAGCCUCAUGAAACAGAGGUGCUGGAUACCAGUACUGCCUGUGCUAGGACCACGCCUGGCUGCUCAGAAACAGGACUGCAAGUGCAUGGAGGAUGUCACAAAUCUGAGAUUCAGCAACCAAAGCCCUCAUUUGGAGGCUGUGUUGGCCAAGAAAAAAGCUCUAAGAUUCUAUUCCAACUUCUGACCAGCAUGUGUGAACAGACUCAGCAUCUGCUUUGAAGACUAAACCAUUUUCUAGCUGCAUAUUUUAAAAGGGCUUUCCAGAAGUGGAAGUGUGAUUACCUAGGACUAUGUACUGCAAGCAAAUCAUCUCAAGCAGGUGGCAGGCUGAGGCAGGAUAAGGCACGAGGCUUAUCUGGAGCCAUGGGAUGAGUCAGGAGGAUGCGAGAGCCGCACUGGGGGCUGGAGCCUCCUUGCCAGCCUGCUGAAGGUACAGCUACCCCACUGCUCUGGGGCUGCUCAGCCAGCCCCCUCCUCCAGCAGCCACUGCCAGUGCCAGCCUCAUACCACAGAGUUCAGUCCUCAGCUGGGCUGAGACACGCGUCCUUGGGAGGCUGCUGCACACCAGAUCACCCAGAGCAACAUGGGUUAAAGCUACUGCUUUCCAGAGAGCCAGAGGGUUGUUACUCACCUGGAUCACUGCAGACACCUGACUUGCACUGCAGUCCCAGAAACACAUCAGCACGGUGGCAAGGAUGGCAAAUCACAGUGGGGAGGGAGAGCAGGAGCUUGGAAUGACCACCUCAAGCCAGAGCUGGCACCAGGGAAAGUGCAGCAUGGCCAGCCAUGGCCACGUGUGUUUCUGCGGACCUGGGAUACACUUUUAGGAGAACAUGUGUACAAUCCAAAACCCAAAUGGCAGCUAUGCCCUCCUCUGAAUCAAGCCCACCCAGGUUUGAGAGAAAGGCCAGGUUUUGCUGACUCAAGGCUUGAACCUGUCAGUGGGACUCACUGCUGUGGUCUCACCCACCUCCUGCUCUUCUGAGCCAUACUGUAUGCGAGUGAACUAUUCUUGGAACAACAGGGUUAAAUUAGAUUACUUAAUAGGUACUAAAAAUGCCACAUAAUUUAAUAGGAAUGAAAAGUGUUUGUUACAAUUUGGUAGAAGUCAAGCUGUCUGACACAUUUUGAUAUGUAAAUUUGACUUUAAAUUUCUUUUUAAGUUCUUCUGGAGCGUACUUUAAAUAUAGAGUGUCUCUGCUUAUUAUGAUCAGAUUAACAACUAAAAUAAGUGUUCUUUUCUACCUAAAGAUCAGCUAUUUCCUUAAUGUUUAGUUAGUUGUUCAUGCUGCUUUUUCAAAAUUCAGGCUCAAAUUCCCCAUUUGUAUAUAAUUUCAGUUUAUGAACCUACAUUUAAAUAUCUGGAUUUCUCUAAAGAGACAGAAGUACAGAGAAGUUUUGUUUGGUCUUCUUUUAAAAUUUAAACACUUUGAAGCUCUGCAGUUUCUACCUUAGUG